UACGAAGGGGGCUAGCGUUUCUCGGAAUUACUGGGCGUAAAGCGCACGUAGGCGGCUUCUUAAGUCGGUGGUGAAAUCCUGGAGCUCAACUCCAGAACUGCCUUCGAUACUGGGAAGCUCGAGUCCGGGAGAGGUGAGUGGAACUGCGAGUGUAGAGGUGAAAUUCGUAGAUAUUCGCAAGAACACCAGUGGCGAAGGCGGCUCACUGGCCCGGUACUGACGCUGAGGUGCGAAAGCGUGGGGAGCAAACAGG
rnacentral:rRNA from 1 species